AGCCCGAUUCACCUAAGCUGACUAAUUGAAAUCAAUAAAUCAUUUGAUGUUUAAGGCAAGUCUCGAUCGAUGGUUUUUAAUUAGAAGGCUGCUCAUCUAGAUAAUUUUGCUUAUGACGAGCUAAUGGCGUACCCUCUCAUCGAUCUUACUUGUCUGGCCAAUUGGAUGAUUGGGUUCAUUAGUUGCUAAGGUGCUUUGGUUUAGCCUAUACCAGCU
rnacentral:lncRNA from 1 species